rnacentral:rRNA from 1 species
AUUGAACGCUGGCGGCAGGCCUAACACAUGCAAGUCGAGCGGAUGAAGGGAGCUUGCUCCUGGAUUCAGCGGCGGACGGGUGAGUAAUGCCUAGGAAUCUGCCUGGUAGUGGGGGAUAACGACCGGAAGCGGGCGCUAAUACCGCAUACGUCCUGAGGGAGAAAGUGGGGGAUCUUCGGACCUCACGCUAUCAGAUGAGCCUAGGUCGGAUUAGCUAGUUGGUGGGGUAAAGGCCUACCAAGGCGACGAUCCGUAACUGGUCUGAGAGGAUGAUCAGUCACACUGGAACUGAGACACGGUCCAGACUCCUACGGGAGGCAGCAGUGGGGAAUAUUGGACAAUGGGCGAAAGCCUGAUCCAGCCAUGCCGCGUGUGUGAAGAAGGUCUUCGGAUUGUAAAGCACUUUAAGUUGGGAGGAAGGGCAGUAAGUUAAUACCUUGCUGUUUUGACGUUACCAACAGAAUAAGCACCGGCUAACUUCGUG